rnacentral:rRNA from 1 species
GACGAACGCUGGCGGCGUGCUUAACACAUGCAAGUCGAACGAAGUGGCGGACGGGUGAGUAACGCGUAAUCAACCUGCCCUUCAGAGGGGGACACCAGUUGGAAACGACUCCUAAUACCGCAUACUUAAGGAGGGGAUUGCGUCUGAUUAGGUAGUUGGGGGGGUAACGGCCCACCAAGGCGAGGAUCGGUAGCCGGUCUGCGAGGAUGAACGGAGAAAUUGGGACUGAGACACGGCCCAGACUCCUACGGCAGGCAGCAGUGGGGAAUCGUCCGCAAUGGACGAAAGUCGGACGGAGGAACGACGCGUGAGUGAUGACGGCCGGCGGGUUGUAAAGCUCUGUUAAUCGGGACGCGGUACCGGAAUAGAAAGCCACGGCUAACUACGUGCCAGCAGCCGCGGUAAUUC